rnacentral:siRNA from 1 species
GGUUCGGGUCGGUUCGAUUGUAA